rnacentral:lncRNA from 1 species
AAUACUAUUCUAGCCUAGUUCUAAUAACAAAUAUACAUAUUAAUUGUUCAUUAUUCAUAUUUGUAUUCAAUUUUUCAGAUAUCCGAACAAUUUUAAAUUCUUUGAAACUAUAUCAGCAUCCGUAUUCGACACUAUCCGAAUAUUAUUAAAUAUGCAUUUGAUAAGGCCGGAUAUUAUCUUAUUCAUUUUCGACGCUAGAGAUACAAACGGAGCAGAUCUAGAGGCAGAAAGGGUCCCCACGUCCCGCUCUGCUUCUUGAGUCGAGGUCGAUUUGAAGCGGUUUAACUUUAAUCCUAUUUUGGCGCCCACAUACCGUUCCAUUCGGGGCGAAUCAGGACAGAGACGCUUUUGGUAGAUUUUACUUUUCACUCGUCAAUUGGUCUCUCUUGAAUAUGCAAAUUCCAACACGAGGCAAGAAGAAAGAGUAUACUCCACUACUAGUCCCAAAAAAGACAAAAGAAGAAAGGAUAUAUUGCACUACUAGUCCUUCAAUUUUUAAAUUCGACUUUCAAAACUCUGAACUUUCAACGAUGUUUCAUUUUCAAUUCUGAACUUUCAACAAUGUUUUAUUUCAGAUCUCUUUCUUAGAAUAAAACUUAUUGGUUGUACCAAUAGGCAAUUGGCAUUAUAGACACGGACACGGACACGAAGUAUGGAACACGGCACUAAUUGGACACCAUGACUAAACAGCUCCAAAAAAAUUAAAACACAGACACGAGAUAGACACCACUAUUAUUAAUAUAAAAAUAUAUAUUUAUCUAUACUUAUAAAAGCGUGAGUUUUAAAUUUUUUUCUGUUUCCAAAAAUACCUCUAUCUUUUCUACUAAUAUUUUCAUAUCCAGUAAUUUUCAACCAUUCAUUUCAAAUAAUUUUUCAAAUAAUAAUUUAUUCUCAAAUAUAGAUUUUUAAGUUUUUACCAUUGGAUCUCAUCCAACGAUUAAAAAUAAAAGUAUCUGUCACUUUUCUUGACAAAAAUACCCUCAAUAUCCGUUAUCUUCUAUCUAUGCAUUUUACAAAUAUGUACGCGUUUUCUCAAACGUAAUUUCUACCCUAACUUAAAAUAUCUGUUAUCUCCUAUUUACGUGUUUCUCAAAUAUUUUCUUUCUCACAUGUAAUAUGUGCGCCAAUCACGUAGAAUAUUGUUAGAAAGAUUUAAUACCCAUCUAAGGAAAACUAAAAUAUUAAUUAAAUAUAAUUUAAAUUUUUAAAUUUUUUAGUAAACUAUUCAAAAAUAAUAUCCAUCAAAAUAUUUUACGCGUUUCUUAAAUAUAGAGUAUAUAAUGCACUCAGUAUAAAAUAUUGCUAGAAAAAUUUAAUACCCAUUUAAGGAAAACUAAAUGGUUAAUAAAAUAUAAUUUAAAAUUUUUAAAUUUUUUUAGUAAAAUAUUCAAAAAUAAUACCCAAAAAAAUAUUUUACGUUUCUUAAAUAUAGAGCAUAUCUUAAUGCACUCCCAUAUAAUAUCGACAUAUCUUUAUAUAUAAAUAUAAUAUCUCAUCAUAAUAUUUAUUCAUACACAGAAAAUAUUUUUUUUGAGACAUAUUUUUUUUAGUAAUAUCUUUUUUAUUUUCACCUAUAUUUUUUAAAUAUUUUUUUUAGUAAUAUCCUUUCUCCAUCGCUAGCACCAGUAUAUCGUAGCACAUCGUCAUCGUCGACACCAGCACAUUGUCACUUUUACUUUUGCCACCUUCGUUUGGAGAGGUACUUUGAUUCCAUCUGAAAAUUUUUUAUUUUUUUAAUGUGCAUUUAUAGUAUCUUAACAUAUUUUUUUGGUAUUUUCUCAUUUUUAUGUAUACAUUUAUCAAAUAUAAAGCAUAUAUAUUUUUGAUAAUAUUCUUUUUCAUUUUCACCUAUAUUUUUUUUAAUUAUUCUCAUAUAUUUCUUUUAGUAAAUCAUUUCUCAUUUGUCAUCGUUGCCGGCACCAGCACAUGGUCAUCGUCCUCCUCCUUAUCGUCAUCAUCAUCACCGGCACAUUGUCCCCUUCGUCACCUUCACUAUAAUUAUUUUGAUCCCACCGAAUUUUUUUUAAUGUGUCUUUAUACUGUUACAUUAUAUUUUUUUUUAGUAUUUCCUUAUUUUUACCUAUGUAUAUUUUUUUAGUAAUAUCCUUUUAAAUAUUUUCUUUGUGGCAUAACUAUCAAUCCUUUCUUACAUAAUGCGCACAUUUUUUCAAAUAUAAUGAAAUACAUAUAAAAAAUACUUAUAGUAUAAAUUAAUUAAAAAUAUAUAAAACUUAUCUAGAGAUAAAUUAAAGUUAGAAAAAAAUAAUUAAAUGAUAGACAUACACCUCCAUUAACGAUUUAAAAUUUAAAAUGUAAAUAUAAAUUUAAUUUAAAAUUAGAUGUGACAUUUUGAAUUAAAAAUAAAUUAAAAUUUUGUUGCUUUUAGAUUAAAAUAUAUAACCAAUCUUCUAAAUCUCCUUUCUGACGAGUGAUACUUGCUACCUAUCAUCUCUUUAUCAGAUAUCGAGCAUAUCUUGAUAUUUAACCUCCCAAUCUUCUUAUUCUUAUCCCAAUCUUAUAUAUACUUAUUAUUUUUCACACAUAAUACCCGCCACCUAUGCAUUUGUCACUACAUAAGUGAUGCCGACACAUCGUUGUUGUCACCUUCACCGGCACAUCUUUAUCCUCCUUCUCACCGACACAACUUCGUUGUCACCUUUGCUAGCAUGACGUCGUCGUCUACACAUUGCAUGUAUAUCACCUGCGGCCAAUUUAUACAAAAGUAUACCAGACCUCUAAAAAGCUCACGAAUUUAAAUUAGAAUUCAAUUCAUAUUCUGUAAAAUUAAAAAAAUUACAAAAUUCAUAAAUAUAACUAUGUUUCUAUGACAUUAUAUAUUUUGAGCAUCUAUUUAUCAAAUUCAUCAACUUUUUUUAUAUUGUUAAUUUUUAUGUUCAUUUAAUGCCUAGAUAUUAUGGUUUUAAAAAUUUAUAAAUUUUAAUGUAUAAUUUUUUUAAAAACGAAUGUUAAAUAUUAAAUGUGGUGUAUAAAACAUGUACAUUGGGUACAGCAAAAACUUCUCAAAAUAUGAACAGUAUCUCAAUAGGAUUCAAAAUUCUUCCAAAAUUGUAUUAAUAUUUUUACGAUCUUCUUCAAAUCAAUAUAUAUAUAUAUAUAUAUAUAUAUAUAUAUAGGGUAUAAAAAAUGUUAAAAUCUUUGCCCAAAUUAAGCUGUCACGCCCCGGGGCCGAUUUUAAAAGCCUUUUAAAAACAGAGUUGCGGAAAACGUGCCAUUUUUUUUUUUUCAACCUGGCCCACGUGACGUACAGAUCCGCCACAAAUACAAAGUUCCUCUGUCCACUCGGGCAGAGUCUCCUUUGUAUUUGCACGGCGUACCAACGGAUACAACAGGAUCACAACCACAACCUACAUUUACCAAUCAACAACCAAAGCAUGAUAUGCAUUUCCAUACAGCUAACAAUCCUUAGAAUGAUGCAUGCCUCUAAGCACUCCUUAGGCGCUGGAUGAUGCAAUGCACAAUACAACAACCAUCCUAUUUAAGAAUGCUCCCCACACAGAAGCUUUUAUUUUUGAACUCUAAUUCAUUCAUCAUGAAAAACCAUUUGAAAACCUUUUGAAAACUGUUUCCCACACGGAAACUCUAUUUU